rnacentral:rRNA from 1 species
AACCUGCCUCAAAGAGGGGGACAACAGUUGGAAACGGCUGCUAAUACCGCAUAAGCCCACGGCUCGGCAUCGAGCAGAGGGAAAAGGAGCAAUCCGCUUUGAGAUGGCCUCGCGUCCGAUUAGCUAGUUGGUGAGGUAAUGGCCCACCAAGGCAACGAUCGGUAGCCGGACUGAGAGGUUGAACGGCCACAUUGGGACUGAGACACGGCCCAG